rnacentral:lncRNA from 1 species
CUUGCAGCAUCCUGUGAAAUGCAGCGAGUAACUCCAGCUCACCCAAGGAAUCAUCUUUCUGACUCUUCUUCGCCAGAAGCUAUAAAUCCAUUAGGUGCAUUUUUGACUUUUCAGGUCUCCUCGGCAGCAGGUUUACCACCACAUAACCCAGUGCUCUUUCUCUAGCCCGGUUUAGGUUUCCUUACCACCUGCUGCCCAGUCCCAAAGCUACUGCCACAUAUUUUAGGUUGUGGCAGCAGCCCAGUUCAAGGUACCAACUUCCAUAUUUGUUCUAGCAGCAAUAAUACUUCUGAAUAACUCCAGGACUUAAAGCAAAAAAUACAUUGUACUUAGGGAUCUGCCCGCUUCUCUUCUGCUCCAGGCUAUGGGUCAGGUUCAAGUCUACUCAACGCUUCGGAUAUUCUGGGCUCCAGGCUGAAGGGCCAACUGCUCUAUCAGCCGUGCUCUUCUCGUAGCAUAUCACAGAGUGUGAGCACUAGCUUAUUUUUAGUAAACGUUUCUUCUAUCCCACCCCCCAAUCCCAUCCUGUCUUUGUGCCAGUUCCCAGGUUGUUUUGUUAGGUCCUUUUCAGUUAAUUAAUUGUCGCAUCAGCUGUAGUUAACUGUUCAUUGGGCUUCUCAUUUCAUGUUUCAUUUCUGAAAGUUCUAGUGGCUUCAUUUUCAGGUAUGCCUGGUCAGUUUUGAACCGUUCUGUUUCCAUUAUAUGUAAGCUUACAUGUCUUCGUUUGUAUUUCAUAUUUGCAAAGUUAACAUCUGGUCCUUGGGGAGUUCCCGUCAUGGCGCGGCAGAAACAAACCCGACUAGGAAUCAUGAGGUUGAGGGUUCGAUCCCUGGCCUCCCUCAGUGGGUUAAGGAUCCGGCGUUGCCCUGAGCUGUGGUGUAGGUCACAGUUGUGGCUCAGAUCUGGCAUUGCAGUGGCUGUGGUGUAGGCCGGCAGCUGUAGCUCUGAUUAGACCCCUAGCCUGGGAACCUCCAAAUGCUGCUGGUGCAGCCUUAAAAAGGACAAAAAGACAAAACAAAAAAAUCUGGUCCUUGGGGCCUAAUUUUGCUGCCUUUGUUCCUGCUGACUCUCAUUCCUGGUGGCUUCUUUCCUCGGGUAUUUGGUAAUUUUUCAUGAUGAGUUUCACUAACAGAUUAUAACCUGUAAGAUUCCUGUGAGGGGCAGGGGGGCAGGAGUGAGCAUGCAUCCUUCCAGAGAGAUUUUAUGGAUGCUUCUUCUGGUGCCCAAGGAUGACACCUCUCUGAAGUCACUUUAAAUUAAUCUGUCUUGCUGGCAUUUCCCAGACCGAGAAGGUAUUAAAAAUUCAUACCCAAACCCGAGUGAAGCAGCCUUGGACUGGGAUCUCCUGUGGGAUGCUUCUGGGGUAUUUCUCAUUCAGAGCCAAAGCAGGAGAUGGCCAAUUUCCCAGCGGUCCCCUUUUCAAGUGACUAGACUGCAGGAUGAGUUCCAGAUCCAGGCAGAGGUCUCCGAUCAGGCUCCCCCUUUUGUGGGCCAAAUGCUUUAUCUGUUUCUGGGAUGGGCAGGUGCCUCUGGCGUAGCCCACGUCUUCAGCAUCCGCAUGGCUUUGGGCUCCUUUUAACACAGCUGAUUCCUUCCAUCUGUUGCCUCCAUCUCUUCCUUCCUGCUCUGCUCCCUUUGCUUAACCUUCACAUUUAAGUGCAUGUGUAUUGCAUCUUACCCAGCCUUUCUGGGUGUUUGUGGUGGGAGGGUAGCCUGGGGAACAGAAGGUCUGCCCUCCAUCGGACACUUACUCUUCCCCAGGCUCACAGCCGUGUUUCUCAAGAGACUUCAGGGGGCACAGCCCCCAGACUCAGCCCAGGGACCAUCUAGAGGAAGCAAAAGACCUGAUUUCCCUUUAUGAAGUUCUUGUCAGGGAACAAUAUGAACAGACACAAGGACGUAGAAGAGGUAUAAUGACCAUGCAUUUAUUGAGCACCUACUGUCUGCAAGAUUCCAUGUGGGUGCCUCGCCCAUUUAUGGGUGUCAUCUUACUUAAUCCUUACAAGAACCCUUGGAAAGGCUCAGAAAUGGCUAGUGAUGUACCCAGGGUCCCACAGGCAGUAAGUGGCCAGGCUGAGAAGCCAGGUCCACCCCCUUUUCACAGUCCUUUGCUUCUUUAAAAAAUGAGCACAGGAAUUCCUGCUGUGGCUCAGUGGGUUAUGAACCUGACUAGCAUCCAUGAGGAUGUGGGUCCGAUCCCUGGCCUCGCUCAGUAGGUUAGGAUCUGGCAUUGCUCUGAGCUGAGAUGUAGGUUGAAGACAGAGCUCGGAUCGGGCAUGGCUGUGGCUGUGGCGUAAGCCCGGGGACCUCCAUAUGCCUCUAGUGCAGUCCUAAAAAAGCAAAAAAAGCAAACAAAGAAAAUGAGCACAGGCGGGGCUGGCCAUCUGGGAUGGGCUGCGGGGGAAGCAGCAUGACCGCGUUCCCAUUCACUCUGUGCGGUCAGGUCUGAGUGCGCAUGUGCAAGCUGCCGGUGGGCACCCGCAAUGCGGCUUCGAGGGCAUGUCCCCCUCUUCCCUUUUCAUGACGGUUGUAGAAAUCUAAAAGGAACCAACAAGUAAGCCUUUCAAAUGGAGCGCGGGGGUGCUGUGCUGUGCUGUCUGUGAGGGCGGAGGGCUGCCCCAGCGCUGUUUUCUUCAAAGUUGGCAUGUGGAGCUGCUGGUGACAGGCGUGGAUGCUUCAGACUGAGAGACAGGUGUGCCUGCGGACAGGGCUUGCCCUCCCUGCAGCUCCACCGCAGAAGUCCCAGUUGCCCUGUUGUUGCCUCGCCGCCAAGAUGCUCACCAGCCAGGCCUCAUCAGAACUAAGCUCUUUAGGUAUUUUAAUAUUUUUUCAAUCAGGACUCAUCCCCAAGGAUCACAGCAGAUUUAACUCACAAGUCUGGACUCAGGUCUCCCCUCUCAUCCCAGCAGUGUCUGCUCACACCUUCGCCAUUGAGAAAGUCCUAUUUCGUCUCUUCUCCCUGGCACGGCCCCCAGCCCCCAUGUAGCCUGUUCUGCAUCAGGAGGUCUCCAUCCCUGAGACGUAAGGUGCCAGCAGAUAUUAGUGGCAGAGCAGAAGGCAGCUGGCCCUCAGGGAGCACAAGGCCCUGUGCCACGUUUACCAUGGCUUUCCCAGGCCGGCAGGGCCAGGGGGCACUGCGAGGGCAAAGGGAUGGCUUGGGGCAUUCCACUGUUGCACCCAGGGCCCUGAGCUGCCUUUACUUUCCCAGAGGCUUCCUGGGCAGGGCAGCCUGGAAGCGGGGUGCCCAUUUCUGGUUGCUGCUGGAGGGCCCUCUGCACAGUGCCCGACACCUGCUAAGCGGUCUCUAAGUGCUACCUGCUGUCGGGGUCAUGGCUGUUGAUCUGGAGGGACCCUGAAGUCCAUGGUGCUGGCUUUUGCUGGCUCUCGUCUGAGUGAUAAGAGGAAAGCCUGGACCACUGUGCCCAGUAAUUCAGGGUGUUGCCCUAGAACCUGGGUUGCCAGUAGUGUUGAGGUGACGGCCCCCAGUUCUGGGGGGAGGGUGCCCGAAAGGCUGAGUCAGGUGAGCAGGUGGAUAAAGGGGGAGGACCCCUCCUCAUAGCUUUCUCAAGGAGCCUGGCAAGUGGGGUCCCUGCUCUCCACUCAGAUGGGGCUGGUCCACCCCCCACCUCCCUGAGCCCUCCCAGGAGGCCGGAAGACCCUGGCCUCUCGUAGGUGAGGGCCACUGAGGAGCCUGGGUGGCUGGAGAUGGGAACCUGGGGAGGAAGCAGGCCCUCUCAGACCCCAGGGAGAAGCAGGAGGAAGCCACAGAGCCCGAUGUUUAGAAAAGGGGCGCUACUUAUCCCCAGGGCUGCACCGCGCCUGUGACCGUGAUCAUGUCAGGGCCUGCAGGCUCAGCCAGCUGCAAAAGUCGGCAUUGCAGCUGCAUUCAUGGGCGGUGGAGCCCUGUUCCCCAACUUUCUGCGGUGUGUGCCCCAUGCGAGCUGCUGCAUAUGGCUGAUACGGGCCCUGCUCAGAGCCUGCUUCCCCAGGCUUCCUGUGGCUCUGUCUCCCCCCGCCUUUUACCCCCAGCCGGGAGUUGGCAGGAUCAAGAACUGAUGACAAACCAAGGCGCUGGAGCCCACCUUUGGAGCUUUAUCAGGUGGUGCUGGGAAAGAUCUGAAUGGGGCAUGGCAGCCUGGUCGGGGAGGGUUCGGGCUCAGUUGUGGAGGGUCUGGAUCCUCAUCCCCAAAGGGGAUAAGGGCAUGCCUGCCUGACCCUGGAGCCAGCCCAGCACAGGAGAGGGGCCUUGUGCUCCCUGGGCCAGCAGAUGCCCUCAAAGUCACAUUCACUGGUGACAUUAGAAAAAAGAGCGCUUUGUAGGGAAGGCUGUGUGUCACUCCCAGACUUCCCUCCCUCGGUGACACAUGGAAUCUGCUCACCCUUUCCCGAUGGCGGGUCCAUCGUUCCCUGUUCCUGGUGGUGUGAAGGCCACUUUUGCCCCAAGAGUCUACAAGGACACUGCUGUAGACAGAAUAACGCACCCCACCCCCGCCAAGAUGUCCAAUCCUGAUCCCCUUUACAAAGCCCGAGAAGCUUUGCAGGUAUGAUUCAUUGUGAUGGAGUUCCCGUCGUGGCUCAGUGGAAAUGAAUCUGACUAGCAUCCAUGAGGAUGCAGGUUCGAUCCCUGGCCUCACUCUGUGGGUUAAGGAUCUGGUGUUGCCCUGAGCUGUGGUGUAGGUCGCAGACAUGGCUCAGAUCUGGCGUUGCUGUGGCUCUGGCAUAGACCAGCGGCUACAUCUCUGAUUCCACCUCUAGCCUGGGACCCUCCAUGUGCCGAGGGUGUGGCCCUAAAAAAAAAAA